GCCCCCACCACUGCCAGGAGGGUCUCCUUGAGGGCUCCGGCCGCCAGACACUGAGGCCCAAGCCCAAGGUCACCGCCAGCCCUCGCUGCAGGAAGGGAGAGGGGACCUUUCCGAGCAGGAAAUGCAUCUGCUGGCUGAUUGAUGUCUUCACCUGGCCUUUGUUCCCAGCCGCCUCUCCGCCGCCUCUGCAGGGCUGCACCUCCUGCUCCAGGGUCCAGGCCUCUCGGAGGACAUUCCAGGGUCCCCCCUCUGUCCCCUCCAGGCACGGGCCCCAGUGUCCAGGCCCCCCUCUGUCCCCUCCAGGCAGGGACCAGGCUUGCCUCUGCCUCUGGCACAGGAAGGCUAGUCUAGGGGUAAUUUCAACUUCCCGCAGAGGGGCCCCUGGCCACAGCCCCCGGCACCUGCACAGGUGAGGAGCGGGUAUGGGGAGAGGGUGGCUGAGCGGCACCUGGGGAGGGUGUGGCCCGAGGAGGGGCUGCUGCAAUAAGUGUUUCUUUGUGCCUU